AUUUAUCUCUGUUUUUAUUUUUUAUUUUAAAAAUUUCUUCCUUUUAGAUCUUUCGAUCUUUUCCUUCUGAUAAUCUUUCAAUUUGGUUGUUUUUAAUUCAAUUUUUAAUCGAUUCUUGCAUUUACUCUAAUUUUUUUUCCCUCUGAACUUUUGAAUUAUUGUUGGGCUUUAUUUGAUAGAUAUACAUAACCCACAUGCAAUGCAUGCAUUGUCUUAUAAGGACAGAAUCUUGGUGGGUUUUUGUUAGAAUUCAGUUUUGAUGACCGUUGAUCACUUUUUAUUUCAUUUUAUAAUUAGUAUUUUUUUUUUAUUUCAGGAAAAAUUAAUUUUACUGGAAUUUGAUGCUAAUAAUUAUCAAAGGUUGAAACUUGGGAAUUCUUGGUAAAUUUGAUGAUAAAAAGGUGAGGUUUUUGUUAGAUUGUAAUUUUGAUGAUUAUUGAUCACUUUUGAAUGCAACUCUCAAAAUUGUGUUUUUGUUCCUCUGUUGGUUUUUUCAGGUGUUAAGAUUAUUUUAUUGGAUUUUUUUUCUGGGAAUUAUCGAAGGUUGAAACUUGGGAAUUCCUGGAAGUUUUGAUGAUAAAAAGGUGAGUUUUUUUCUAUUUAAAUUCUUUAUCAUUUGCUUUUCGGAUUAGAUGAUUAUGUUGUUUCAUGAGGAUUAGAUGCAUGACUGCCCACCAUGUAAUUCUGGCAAAAGAAAAAUCUAAUCUUUUAUUUGGUGUAUGGUUUCAUUUACACUUACUCGAUUUUUGGAAAAUAUAUUAGAUAAUGAAAUUUGAAAAUAUAUCAGUUGUCUCGUUGAUGAAAACUGUAAGGAAUUUUAUGCAAGAAAUAAACACGAGUAUAAAAAUACAAAAUUUUGGCAAAUUUCUGACAAAUAAUACUGCCAUUUAUUUUUUCUGUGUUUUCAUCCUGCAAGAUUUUGCCAAAGAAAAUGAUAAUAGUUGUUUUUUUCUUUAUUUGUUUGAUUUUGAUUUUUGGUUAAAAAAUUUUCAACAUUUGUAAUACCCAAUUCUAGUAGGUAGUAGAUUUUAGUACAUCUGUUCUCAUGUCCGCAGUCCGCAUUUAGAUUAUUGGAUAAUUUAGGUAUAGAUUCUGAUAUAAGUUACUUUGUGGUUAAUGUUCUUGUGACCUUGAAAGUGAAAAUCUGGAUUCUUUAUUGUUGGAUAAUUGUAUUAGUGUACAGUCUAUACUUUCAUGGGUGAUGUUGAGAACUUCAAUUAGAUGUUCAAUUUCUGCAUUUUUGAGGCCUGGAGGGUGCCUGGAGGGUAAAAGCUGUGUUUGGAAGAUUCCCACUAUACUUCUAUUCUUGAAGUUUUGAGUUGAUCAACUACUUUGUUUGUCUGGGGUUUAGCCAUGCAAUUUCAGAAUUUAAACUAUCAUUCACUUUAAUAAAUAAGACAAACGUACUGCCAUUGUUCUAAUAGUUGUAACUUUCAGAAGUCCCAAGGAUACCUGACGAGUUAAUGCAGGUUCCAUCUACGUGCAUGUGUACACGUUCAAACACAUACAAAGGAUGGUCUUUGCAUGCCAAUCUGGAGGACUAAAUAACACGAGAUUUAACUUUCUCUGUGAAAUUUCUGGUGUGGGUUCUUAAUACAAUGCGGA
rnacentral:lncRNA from 1 species